UACGUAGGGUCGAGCGUUGUCCGGAGUUACUGGGCGUAAAGAGCGCGCAGGCGGUCAUUCAAGUCGCGUGUGAAAGCCCCGGCUCAACUGGGGAGGUCACGCGAUACUGAUCGACUCGAAGGCAGGAGAGGGUAGUGGAAUUCCCGGUGUAGUGGUGAAAUGCGUAGAUAUCUGGAGGAACACCGGUGGCGAAGGCGGCAUCCUGGACCGACACGUGACGCUGAGGAGGCGAAAGCCAGG
rnacentral:rRNA from 1 species